rnacentral:rRNA from 1 species
AUGCGCGAGGAGUGGAUAGACAUUGUAGCAAUCCAAGAGACCAUGCGAUCUGAAUUCAUCUUGUCCGAGCUUGAGCGUCUAAGCACUCACCUAUUUGUCUGGCAUUGGCUUCCUUCUAGUGUGAUUGUCGGGCACUCAGGUGGCAUCCUGUCAGGUGUAAAGGAUGCCACCUUUAAGGUUGGUGGUAUGGGUAGGGGUGAGUUCUUUGUAAGCAUGGAGAUUUUCGAGAGGGCUCUGAACUUCAAAUGA